rnacentral:rRNA from 1 species
CGCGCCGGCGGAUGCAGCACGAGCUGCUGCGCCUGUGGGACGACGCGCGCUUCACGCUGCUGUUCGUCACGCAUUCGAUCGAGGAGGCGCUCGUGAUCGGCAACCGGGUGCUGUUGCUGUCGCCGCAUCCGGGGCGCGUGCGCGCCGAACUCAACAGCCAUCAUUUCGACGAGCGCAGCGUCGGGCGUGCGGAUUUCCAGCGGACGGCGGAGCGGAUCCAGCGGCUGCUGUUCGACGAAAGCGGGGCGCGCGCAUGAGCGCGGCCCCGCGCAUCGCGCCACCGGUGCGCGACGAGUACGAGCUCGCGCUCGCGCCGGCCGCGUCGAUCGACGCGAUCGCCCCGGCUGCCGGGAUCGCGGCGGCGCGAGCCGGCGAUCCGGCCGCCGGCGCGGGCGAGUGCGGCCGCGCCGCGCCGCUCGCGCGCCUGUACGCGCGGCUUGGAGUGCGACGCCUGCGCGACGCGCAAUGGCUGCGCAAGACGGCGCUCGCGCUCGCGCUGAUCGCCGCGUGGGAAAUCGUCGCGCGCGUGGUCGACGACGAUCUGCUGCUGCCGAGCUUCGGCGCGACCGCGCUUGCGUUCGCGCACGGCGUCGCGAACGGCGAGCUGCCGGCGAAGAUCGCGGUAUCGCUGUCGAUGCUGCUGCGCGGCUAUGCGCUCGGCGUGGCGCUCGCGUUCGCGCUGACCGCGCUCGCGGCGACGACGCGCCUCGGUCGCGAUCUGCUGACGAUGCUCACCGCGAUGUUCAAUCCGCUGCCGUCGAUCGCGCUGCUGCCGCUUGCGCUGCUGUGGUUCGGCCUCGGCACGGGCAGCCUGCUGUUCGUGCUCGUGCAUGCGGUACUCUGGCCGCUCGCGCUGAGCACGUUCGCGGGUUUUCAGGCCGUGCCGGCGACGCUCAGGAUGGUCGGGCGCAAUUAUGGGCUGACGGGCGUGCGCCACGUCGUCGCGAUCCUGGUGCCGGCCGCGCUGCCUUCGAUUCUCGCGGGCCUGAAGGUCGCCUGGGCGUUCGCGUGGCGCACGCUGAUCGCGGCCGAGCUCGUGUUCGGCGCGAGCGCGGGCGGCGGCGGGCUCGGCUGGUACAUCUUCCAGAACCGCAACGAGCUCUACACGGACCGCGUGUUCGCCGGCCUCGCCGCGGUGAUCGCGAUCGGGCUUGUCGUCGAGCAUGGCGUGUUCGACGCGCUCGAACGCGUGAGCGUCAAGCGCUGGGGCGCGCAUACGCUGUAGCGCGCCCGCGCAGGCGCCCCGCACCCGCGCAGGCGCAGGCGCAGGCGCGGGCCACGGCCGGCAACGGGUCGAACGGCCAAGCAAACUGCCGAGCGAGCGGCUGGGGCAUGCGGCCGAGAUCCGUGGGGUGACGAGGGCGAUGCCCGCACCCGAGUCCGCACCCGAGUUCGCCGGUGCACGCGCGUGCCGCACCGCGCCGCGGGCUGUGCCGGCGCU